UGCAAGUCGAGCGGUAGAGAGAAGCUUGCUUCUCUUGAGAGCGGCGGACGGGUGAGUAAUGCCUAGGAAUCUGCCUAGUGGUGGGGGAUAACGUUCGGAAACGGACGCUAAUACCGCAUACGUCCUACGGGAGAAAGCGGGGGAUCUUCGGACCUCGCGCCAUUAGAUGAGCCUAGGUCGGAUUAGCUAGUUGGUGAGGUAAUGGCUCACCAAGGCGACGAUCCGUAACUGGUCUGAGAGGAUGAUCAGUCACACUGGAACUGAGACACGGUCCAGACUCCUACGGGAGGCAGCAGUGGGGAAUAUUGGACAAUGGGCGAAAGCCUGAUCCAGCCAUGCCGCGUGUGUGAAGAAGGUCUUCGGAUUGUAAAGCACUUUAAGUUGGGAGGAAGGGCAGUAACCUAAUACGUUAUUGUUUUGACGUUACCGACAGAAUAAGCACCGGCUAACUUCGUGCCAGCAGCCGCGGUAAUACGAAGGGUGCAAGCGUUAAUCGGAAUUACUGGGCGUAAAGCGCGCGUAGGUGGUUCAGUAAGUUGGAAGUGAAAUCCCCGGGCUCAACCUGGGAACUGCUUUCAAAACUGCUGAGCUAGAGUACGGUAGAGGGUGGUGGAAUUUCCUGUGUAGCGGUGAAAUGCGUAGAUAUAGGAAGGAACACCAGUGGCGAAGGCGACCACCUGGACUGAUACUGACACUGAGGUGCGAA
rnacentral:rRNA from 1 species